GAGGGUAUAGCUCAGUGGUAGAAUGGGUGCCUAGCAUGCACAAGGUCCUGGGUUCAAUCCCCAGUACCUCCA
rnacentral:tRNA from 1 species